rnacentral:rRNA from 1 species
AGUCGACGCGAAAUGGAGCAUCCAUGAGUAGAGUGGCAAACGGGUGAGUAACGCGUGGGCGACCUACCUCUGAGUGGGGGAUAACCUUCCGAAAGGAGGGCUAAUACCGCAUGACAUCCCAUGUUUGGAUACAUGGACAUCAAAGCCGGGGAUCGCAAGACCUGGCGCUUGGAGAGGGGCCCGCGUCCGAUUAGCUAGUUGGUGGGGUAACGGCCCACCAAGGCUCCGAUCGGUAUCCGGCCUGAGAGGGCGGACGGACACACUGGGACUGAGACACGGCCCAGACUCCUACGGGAGGCAGCAGUGGGGAAUUGUUCGCAAUGGGCGCAAGCCUGACGACGCAACGCCGCGUGGAGGAUGAAGACCUUCGGGUCGUAAACUCCUUUCGACCGAGAUGAAUUCCUGCCGACCCAAUACGUCGGCAGGGUGACAGUAUCGAGGGAAGAAGCCCCGGCUAACUCCGUGCCAGCAGCCGCGGUAAUACGGGGGGGGCAAGCGUUGUUCGGAAUUACUGGGCGUAAAGGGUUCGUAGGUGGCCUACUAAGUCAGACGUGAAAUCCCUCAGCUUAACUGGGGAACUGCGUCUGAUACUGGGGGGCUUGAGGACAGGAGAGGAACGCGGAAUUCCAGGUGUAGCGGUGAAAUGCGUAGAUAUCUGGAGGAACACCGGUGGCGAAGGCGGCGUUCUGGACUGUUUCUGACACUGAGGAACGAAAGCCAGGGGAGCAAACGGGAUUAGAUACCCCGGUAGUCCUGGCCCUAAACGAUGAAUGCUUGGUGUGGCGGGUAUCGAUCCCUGCCGUG